UACGUAGGGUGCAAGCGUUGUCCGGAAUUAUUGGGCGUAAAGAGCUCGUAGGCGGUUUGUCGCGUCUGCUGUGAAAACUCGGGGCUUAACCCCGGGCCUGCAGUGGGUACGGGCAGACUAGAGUGCGGUAGGGGAGACUGGAAUUCCUGGUGUAGCGGUGAAAUGCGCAGAUAUCAGGAGGAACACCGGUGGCGAAGGCGGGUCUCUGGGCCGUAACUGACGCUGAGGCGCGAAAGCAUGGGGAGCGAACGGG
rnacentral:rRNA from 1 species